GUUGGGCUGUUCGCCCAUUAAAGCGGUACGCGAGCUGGGUUCAGAACGUCGUGAGACAGUUCGGUCCCUAUCCGUCGUGGGCGUAGGAAAUUUGAGAGGAGCUGUCCUUAGUACGAGAGGACCGGGAUGGACAUACCGCUGGUGUACCAGUUGUCUUGCCAAAGGCAUCGCUGGGUAGCUAUGUAUGGACGGGAUAAGUGCUGAAAGCAUCUAAGCAUGAAGCCCCCCUCAAGAUGAGAUUUCCCAUUACGCAAGUAAGUAAGACCCCUGAAAGACGAUCAGGUAGAUAGGUUCGAGGUAGAAGUGCGGUGACGCAUGCAGCUGACGAAUACUAAUCGGUCGAGGACUUAACCACAUUU
rnacentral:rRNA from 1 species